UACGGAGGGUGCGAGCGUUGUCCGGAAUCACUGGGCGUAAAGGGCGCGUAGGUGGCGGAGCAAGUCAACGGUGAAAGCUCGACGCUCAACGUCGAGUCGGCCGUCGAGACUGCUUUGCUCGAGCACUGUAGAGGCAGAUGGAAUUCCGGGUGUAGCGGUGGAAUGGCGUAGAGAUCCGGAAGAACACCGGAUGGCGAAGGGCGGGCUGAGCUGGGGCCUGGUUCGCUGGGACCAUUGAGGCGCC
rnacentral:rRNA from 1 species